AGUGAACGCUGGCGGUAGGCCUAACACAUGCAAGUCGAACGGCAGCACAGUAAGAGCUUGCUCUUACGGGUGGCGAGUGGCGGACGGGUGAGGAAUACAUCGGAAUCUACUUUUUCGUGGGGGAUAACGUAGGGAAACUUACGCUAAUACCGCAUACGACCUACGGGUGAAAGCAGGGGAUCUUCGGACCUUGCGCGAUUGAAUGAGCCGAUGUCGGAUUAGCUAGUUGGCGGGGUAAAGGCCCACCAAGGCGACGAUCCGUAGCUGAUCUGAGAGGAUGAUCAGCCACACUGGAACUGAGACACGGUCCAGACUCCUACGGGAGGCAGCAGUGGGGAAUGUUGGACAAUGGGCGCAAGCCUGAUCCAGCCAUACCGCGUGGGUGAAGAAGGUCUUCGGGUUGUAAAGCCCUUUUGUUGGGAAAGAAAAGCAGCAGGUUAAUACCCCGCUGUUCUGACGGUACCCAAAGAAUAAGCACCGGCUAACUUCGUG
rnacentral:rRNA from 1 species